ACUCCACAGGACACUGCUGUCACACUUAAGUUCUGUGCGUGCAGUGGCUAUUUACAGCGGCAUCUCCGCAGCAAGCUCCCACGCUGCCCGACCUGAGCUUGCACCGCCGGCUGGAGCUCAAAUGGACAUCGGGCACCUGCCGGCCAACUUUGAGGGAGGAGGGCGACACGCCGUUGUUGCAAAACCAAUGCACGGUCGCAGGGCUUGCUUUGUAAUAAUUUGGCCUCGUUUUCCAGAAAGCUGUUAAAUGAGCGACUGGCAUGGAUAUCCACAGGAGGUGGGGAGCUUGGGAGCCCAGAACCGCAACUUUUUCGCUGUGCCGUCCCUGGGCUUUCUCCACACACGACACACUAUUGCAGGACCGCAAGUGGACGACAGAGUUUUAACAUGUGGAAAGAGAUUGUGAUGAUGCUCAAGCAGAACAAAAA